rnacentral:rRNA from 2 species
AUGUUCUAACGUGGACCCGUGAUCCGGGUUGCGGACAGUGUCUGGUGGGUAGUUUGACUGGGGCGGUCUCCUCCUAAAGAGUAACGGAGGAGCACGAAGGUUGGCUAAUCCUGGUCGGACAUCAGGAGGUUAGUGCAAUGGCAUAAGCCAGCUUGACUGCGAGCGUGACGGCGCGAGCAGGUGCGAAAGCAGGUCAUAGUGAUCCGGUGGUUCUGAAUGGAAGGGCCAUCGCUCAACGGAUAAAAGGUACUCCGGGGAUAACAGGCUGAUACCGCCCAAGAGUUCAUAUCGACGGCGGUGUUUGGCACCUCGAUGUCGGCUCAUCACAUCCUGGGGCUGAAGUAGGUCCCAAGGGUAUGGCUGUUCGCCAUUUAAAGUGGUACGCGAGCUGGGUUUAGAACGUCGUGAGACAGUUCGGUCCCUAUCUGCCGUGGGCGCUGGAGAACUGAGGGGGGCUGCUCCUAGUACGAGAGGACCGGAGUGGACGCAUCACUGGUGUUCGGGUUGUCAUGCCAAUGGCACUGCCCGGUAGCUAAAUGCGGAAGAGAUAAGUGCUGAAAGCAUCUAAGCACGAAACUUGCCCCGAGAUGAGUUCUCCCUGAGACUUUAGGUCUCCUGAAGGAACGUUGAAGACGACGACGUUGAUAGGCCGGGUGUGUAAGCGCAGCGAUGCGUUGAGCUAACCGGUACUAAUGAACCGUGAGGCUUAACCUUACA